rnacentral:tRNA from 1 species
GAGGCGGUAGCUCAGCGGUAGAGCACUGGUCUUUCCAGCUCCGCGCCUGCCUCCUCGGAGGCCAAGCGGAGCUUACUCCAAACUCGGAACCAGGGACGUCGGUUCGAAUCCGGCCCGCCUCC